ACAUCACCCUCUUGCAAUCUUUCCUCGACUCGAUCAUAGUGGAUCUACUCGGAACCGCGUGUAAAUCGCGGGCUGUACCGCAACUGUGUGGGUGUCGCUUUUCGAAAGCAACACCUAAGCCAGGAACGAGACAUCGUGUGGGGCUUCGG
rnacentral:ncRNA from 2 species